GCGUCGGUGGUGCAACGGUUCAGCACGCACUCCUGGAUAGGAUCAAAUGUGAGUUCGACUCCCAGCUGACGCA